GCCCGAUUAGCUCAGUCGGUAGAGCGUGGGACUUUUAGGUCAUUCUGCCAUCCCAAUGUCAGGGGUUCGAGCCCCCUAUCGGGCG
rfam:Aspergillus parasiticus ST-1 349, whole genome shotgun sequence.